CAGCACUGAAUUUAUUUUAUUUAUUGUCAACGCGCGCCAUCUAGUGGUGAUGUCAUAAUACAAACGGGUCAAUGUCGAUUAUUGCGUAAAUUACUGGACUCAAAUUUUCAGUUUCAAAUACAUUUUACAUUGACUGCUAUUCAAACCGCUUGUGUUGCUUGUAUUUCUUGAUGUAUAGGUCUUAUUUGUGACUUUGCCGUUUUCAGCCCAGUUAUUGCCAUUUUAGUUUAGUUUUCCGUAGAGAAAGCUUUUGUAACUGUUGUUACUGGUUUCCUGGUUACACUUUGGGGCAAAUAUGGAUGAUUUUACAUCCAUCCAAGGGUCUUCUUGGUUUAGCGUUACCUUGAUUAGUAUUGAAUUAAUGCUGUGCUCUACAGUAGCCAGUUACAUCCAUGUGUUCAAAUGAAUUGCCUGUUCGCUCUCAGCUCACUGGUUCCAGAGCUAAUGAUGGCCUGUCUUACAGAGAAAGCUCAUCAGAGUUCCUCACUCUUCAGGAGCUAGGCAUACUGCCAAACUACAUCACUGUCAAUCACAUGAGAAAGCCUUCCUGAAAAAGUGAGUGAAACCUCAAGUUUCACAGACUCCAGUACAGUAUGAUACACACAAAUAUAUAGACAGAUGGAUGGAUAGGCCCACAGGGAUAGACAUCGAAACAUAGAUGGAUGACAUCACUUUCAUUUAGCUUUAAAUUGCUUUUUUUGUCCUUACAUUUUAUUUUACACAAUUAUAGUGUUGCAUGUGACUUAUGUACAGGCCUACUCUAUGCUACUAGACUAAAGUCCAUCGUGUCAUAAACCACCUUACAUUUUCAGGAAGCGUUAACGUGUACGUCUGUCUGCUUCUGCCCAUGUCGUACUGUUAGCUAUUGGAAACUGAGAACUAUCAAAGUAAUAUAAAUACAGCUAAAGAACAGCAUGUGAGAGGAAACCUCUGAGUGACAACAUUAAAACAAAGUUACUCACCUGUGCAAUGGCGAGUGAACGCUCCCCAAAUGUUUAUGGAGCUGGGAAGAGUACAGUAGCCAAAACCAUCCUGGGCAGAGAUAACUUCCGGAGUGAAGGAGGCAUGUGUGUGAAGAAGCAGGGUGAGCUGGCUGGAAGGACCAUCACCGUGGUGGACACCCCGGGCUGGGACACUGUGAUGUACACGUCCACACACAUCAAACAAGAUAUUAAGAAUAGUGUGACCCUAUGUCCUCCAGGACCCCAUGCUCUUCUUCUGGUGGUGCCCAUGGGUGACCCGCUCUCCUCCGCAGAAAGAAAGGCAAUUCAGUAUCUCAUGGAGCUAUUGUCAGUAAGGGCAUGGAAGUUUACCAUGGUCUUGAUUGUCAGUGAGGCUGAGGAGAAAUGCACAUCCAUUGAACAGAAUCAGAUGAUCGACAGAGCAAAAAGUAUUCUAGCGAAAUGUGGAGACAGACACCAUCUCCUUGAGUGUGGGAAUUCUCCUUCCCAGAUUUCUGAGCUCCUGAAAAAGAUAGACGCCAUGGUAGCAGAAAACUGUGAAGAAUUCUUAAUCCCCCAAGUAUACUAUGAACUGAUGGAGACUACAAUGCCAAGAGAAGUGACCGAGCUGAGAAGGAUGUAUGAAGACAGAGGACAGACUGAAACAGAAAUACAAAACAGAGUUGAAGGAAAAGGAAGAAGAGCUGAAGAAGUAUAGAGAAGAAGAGAAGCCUAAAGAAAGGUUGAUGAAGAGGACAAGUAGCAGUCAACUACUUUCCCCCCAGUAUAAGCACAGAGAAGCAGGACAGGUCGGUAAUGGCUGACCAUCAGAAGGUGGACCUACAGGCCGUCAAGCAAGGAUACAGGGAAGAGGCCUUGUCUGUGGUGGGCCACUACGUCAAACCACUAAUAGUGAUUAUGACUGCUGUAGUGGGGGCACUCAACAAAAUUUAAGCGCAACGUUCUGGGACUUUUUUUGUGUUAUGAUAACAUUUGCCGCAACCGAACAAAUGUCCUGGGAAUUUUCAGAGAAACAAUUUUGGUUUGUUAGAUGCCCUCUCUCUCUUGCCCUCUCUCUCUUGCCCUCUCUCUCUCUCGCCCUCUCUCUCUUCUCUCUCUCUCUCUCUCUCUCUCUCUCUCUCUCUCUGUAACUGAUGGUUGUUGUUGAGAGGUUUUUAUUAUUGUGUGGGGGUGAAUGUCUGCACCCUUUGCGACCUGAUGGAUUGUGUUGAUCUGAGUCCUACUAUACUAUUACUAUACUAUUUUCUGGUGUAGUCAUGUUAUCCAGUAGCUGUAGAUAUAUAUCAGUAGUAGAAUCAUUCUGUACAAACAGCAAGGGAAUUUACUCAAACGAAAGGGCAGUUUGCUCUGGAUUUACUCUGACAGCCGCAGAAGAGAAGGAUAGUAGCAGACUUGAGAACUUCGGAAGACAUUAAUCAUUUUCUUCUCAGCUUUUUAAAUGAUCACUUUUCAAGGAUUUCACAGAGACACAUUUAACAUACAGCACAGUAGGCUUGAGCAUGAAUGCAUAUAUUUCAGUGAAUUAAAUAAACAAAUGUGAGAUGCCAUAUACUCUUUUGCAAUAUAAAAAAGGUGAUACAUUGUAAGGAUGAAUUCAAAACGGUUCUGUUUUCAUAUUGUACUUUAUUUCAAAUAUGUAUCACCACAGAAUUUCCUCUGUUGACCCACAGUUUUCUCAUACUGUAUUUGUUCACUCAAAAGUCUGCCCUGAGGCACUCACUAAACCCACCUUAUUACAGUGCACCUCACACUGGUACCCAGCUAACCAGCAGAUUUUUGCACUGAACAUUCUAUUCUAUAUUUAAUUCAUCUUUAACAUGAUUUAUUGAGCUAUAAAUGUUUUUAUUUUUGUUAUUUCUGAUAUGAAAAACCAAAAACACAAAUCCUAGUAUAGACGCCUAUGUGUCUUUGUUUGAAUGUUUUCUCUAAAUUAAAUGUUUUCAUAUUA